GCCCUUCUGGUGUAGUGGUCUGAGUGCUGGACUAGGACUCGGAGGCCAGGGUUCAAUUCCCAGCUCGGCCA